rnacentral:rRNA from 1 species
GCGCCACAUUGGGACUGAGACACGGCCCAAACUCCUUCAGGAGGCACCAGUGGGGAAUUUUGGACAAUGGGGGCAACCCUGAUCCAGCCAUGCCGCGUGUAUGAAGACCGCCUUCGGGUUGUAAAGUACUUUUGUCGGGGAAGAAAAGGUUAGUGUUAAUACCACUGACUGAUGACGGUACCCGAAGAAUAAGCACCGGCUAACUACGUGCCAGCAGCCGCGGUAAUACGUAUGGUGCAAGCGUUAAUCGGAAUUACUGGGCGUAAAGCGGGCGCAGACGGUUACAUAAGUCAGGUGUGAAAUCCCCUAGCUCAACUUGGGAAUGGCGCUUUUUUCUGUGUAGCUAGAGUGUGUCAGAGGGAGGUAGAAUUCCGCGUGUACCAUUGAAAUGCGUAGAGAUGCGGAGGAAUACCGAUGGCGAAGGCAGCCUCCUGGGAUAACACUGACGUUCUUGCCCUAAAGCGUGGGUAGUCAAACAGGAUUAGAUACCCUGGUAUUCCACCCCCUAAACGAUGACCAUUACCUGUUGGUGUCGCUUG